rnacentral:tRNA from 1 species
CCCCCGGUAGCUCAGUUGGUAGUAGCGCCUGUCUGUUGGCGAAGCCUGCCGCAGGCUUAGAACAGGAGGUCGUCAGUUCAAUACUGACCUGGGGGG